rnacentral:rRNA from 1 species
UACAGAGGGUGCAAGCGUUGUUCGGAAUUAUUGGGCGUAAAGCGCGUGUAGGCGGCUUGGCAAGUCGGGUGUGAAAGCCCUCAGCUCAACUGAGGAAGUGCGCCCGAAACUGCAGAGCUUGAGUGCCGGAGAGGGUGGCGGAAUUCCCCAAGUAGAGGUGAAAUUCGUAGAUAUGGGGAGGAACACCGGUGGCGAAGGCGGCCACCUGGACGGUAACUGACGCUGAGACGCGAAAGCGUGGGGAGCAAACAGG